UCCGUAGGUGAACCUGCGGAAGGAUCAUUAACAAAUCCGUGGCGGCGCCGUCGUGCAUCACGUGCAUGCCGGGCCGGACACUUAUGCGUGCGCACGUUUGCUCUGCGCAUGACAUUUCUGCGAAUGUCUGAUCAUUUAUGAACAAUGUGAUAAUCAACUUUUAACAAUGGAUCUCUAGGCUCCUGCAUCGAUGAAGAACGCAGUGAAGUGCGAAAAGUAGUGCGAUUUGCAUGCUCUGUGAGUCAUCGAAUCUUUGAACGCAUAUGGCACCCCGUGGCGCAUGCUGCGGGGUAUGCCUGUUUGAGAAUCAUUUUCACCCUUCUGAUGGCAAUGUCGUCAGAGACCUGGGCAUUCAGCACUGAUCGCCCCGAAUGCAGCGCGCGCAGCCGUGAUAACACGUUUGACCGGCCGUGCGCCUUCUUGUCGAUGAUCUCAAAUCAGGCAGGACGACCCGCUGAACUUAAGCAUAUCAAUAAGCGGAGGAA
rnacentral:rRNA from 1 species